UGGGGAAUUUUACACAAUGGGGGAAACCCUGAUGUAGCGACACCGCGUGAGCGAAGAAGCCCCUUGGGGUGUAAAGCUCUGUCAGCAGGGACGAAAAAAAUGACGGUACCUGCAGAGGAAGCAUCGGCUAACUACGUGCCAGCAGCCGCGGUAAGACGUAGGAUGCGAGCGUUGUCCGGAUUUAUUGGGCGUAAAGAGUUCGUAGGUGGUUCAUUAAGUCUGGUGUUAAAGACCGGGGCUCAACCUCGGGAUCGCACUGGAUACUGGUGGACUGGAGUGCAGUAGAGGCAAGCGGAAUUCCCAGUGUAGCGGUGAAAUGCGUAGAUAUUGGGAAGAACACCGGUGGCGCAAGCGGCUUGCUGGGCUGUAACUGACACUGAGGAACGAAAGCUAGGGGAGCAAAUGGGAUUAGAUACCCCCGUAGUCC
rnacentral:rRNA from 1 species